AUGGGCGGGCUUGCGAAGAGCCGACCGGGGAGCCCCCUGCCUCCUCCCUUUUCGCAGACAGCAGCAUUGUGGGAGCUCCGCUCACCUCCUGCGAGCGCCUCGCCGCCUGCCCGCCCGGGAAAAGACUGCGCGCAAAAGUACCAGGGGGCCGGAAGGGGGGCGCGCCUAGGAGUGGGGCUAAGUAAGGAGAGGGUCUCCGCCAGGGCUGGGAACAAAGCCCGGAUCGGGCUGGUUAGCGCGGAGGCUAGGUGGAACAGCUCCCUUGAGAACACUACCCAAAAGCCCCCUUUGAAGAAGUACUCGAGUGACCAUCUGUGAAGUGCUAUCUGAGCAAAUCAUUCUGAAACCUGCUUGGACCUUCCCUUUUAAAGUGCUUCCUAAACUGCAAUCCCACAAUGUUAAGAUGUUUACCUUUGGUGGGCAAAGUAGCUCGCUGUGGAUUUUUCAUUUAUAUUCGGCUACUUUUAUAAAGGAGUUCCAGUGUA